GGGUCAUGAUCUAGUUGUGACAUGUGCUACGCAUUGAUUGCCAAGGUUGAGUAUGCUGAACUGUCUGACAAGGUGGAUGUCCCCUUCACUCCUCACUGCUCCAUAUGUGUCCCUCCUGAAGUUAUGAUGGAAGCUGUGGUGAUUGUGCCACACAGAAGGAAUGUACCAUUUUUUGGUCAAAGAUAUACAAACUAAUUUGUUCCAGCAAUGAGAAGCCCUUGUUACAAAUAAAUAAAUAAAUAAAUAAAUAAAAUCACCCUUUCUUUUAUUUCCCAAGCAUAACUGCAUAUAGUCUAAAUAGAAAGGAAACUUAAAAGAAAU
rnacentral:snRNA from 1 species